rnacentral:rRNA from 1 species
AGCAGCCGCGGUAAUUCCAGCUCCAAUAGCGUAUAUUAAAGUUGUUGCAGUUAAAAAGCUCGUAGUUGAAUUUCGGGGUUAGUAGGUUGGUCAUGCCUCUGGUAUGUACUGGUCUCACCGAUUCCUCCUUCCUGAUGAGCCGUAAUGCCAUUAAUUUGGUGUUGCGGGGAAUUUGGACUGUUACUUUGAAAAAAUUAGAGUGUUUAAAGCAAGCUAACGCUUGAAUACAUUAGCAUGGAAUAAUGAAAUAGGACGUUCGAUCCUAUUUUGUUGGUUUCUAGGAUUGACGUAAUGAUUAAUAGGGAUAGUUGGGGGCAUUAGUAUUCAAUUGUCAGAGGUGAAAUUCUUGGAUUUAUUGAAGACUAACUACUGCGAAAGCAUUUGCCAAGGAUGUUUUCAUUAAUCAAGAACGAAAGUUGGGGGAUCGAAGACGAUCAGAUACCGUCGUAGUCUUAACCAUAAACUAUGCCGACUAGGGAUCGGAUGAUGUUAAUUUUUUAAUGACUCA